GAUGAACGCUGGCGGCGUGCCUAAUACAUGCAAGUCGAGCGAACGGACGAGAAGCUUGCUUCUCUGAUGUUAGCGGCGGACGGGUGAGUAACACGUGGAUAGCCUACCUAUAAGACUGGGAUAACUUCGGGAAACCGGAGCUAAUACCGGAUAAUAUUUUGAACCGCAUGGCUCAAAAGUGAAAGACGGUCUUGCUGUCACUUAUAGAUGGAUCCGCGCUGCAUUAGCUAGUUGGUAAGGUAACGGCUUACCAAGGCAACGAUGCAUAGCCGACCUGAGAGGGUGAUCGGCCACACUGGAACUGAGACACGGUCCAGACUCCUACGGGAGGCAGCAGUAGGGAAUCUUCCGCAAUGGGCGAAAGCCUGACGGAGCAACGCCGCGUGAGUGAUGAAGGUCUUCGGAUCGUAAAACUCUGUUAUUAGGGAAGAACAUAUGUGUAAGUAACUGUGCACAUCUUGACGGUACCUAAUCAGAAAGCCACGGCUAACUACGUG
rnacentral:rRNA from 1 species